CGUAUAAUAGAAACUAACCAGGAUUCCCUUAGUAACGGCGAGUGAACUGGGAUACCAAUAUACAAUAUGCACUACGUGCAUACUUUAGCCCGUCGAUACUAUCCUAGCAUAUCACCGGUCUCGGCCGGUAACCAAAUAUGCGGGAAUUGUAGCAUCGUAACAACAAUACAAAUAUAUGUAUACGCACAACACACACACGCUGCGCGUGCUUGACAUAUCUUGUAAACACACACCGCCUCCGCGUUGGAAAGCAAAUAUAUAUCCUCUUUGUGUAUGCCAUAGAGAGUGACACCCACGUUUGAAUCACUCAUAUAUGCGGUACACGCACACACACACACACAGGGUGGGUGUGUGUGUGCACACACUAUAUUUUAUAUAUUGAGUGAGGUUAUUU
rnacentral:rRNA from 1 species